CCUGUGACAUACCUAAAACGUUGCCUCGGCGGGAACAGACGGCCCCGUAACACGGGCCGCCCCCGCCAGAGGACCCCCUAACUCUGUUUCUAUAAUGUUUCUUCUGAGUAAACAAGCAAAUAAAUUAAAACUUUCAACAACGGAUCUCUUGGCUCUGGCAUCGAUGAAGAACGCAGCGAAAUGCGAUAAGUAAUGUGAAUUGCAGAAUUCAGUGAAUCAUCGAAUCUUUGAACGCACAUUGCGCCCGCCAGUAUUCUGGCGGGCAUGCCUGUUCGAGCGUCAUUACAACCCUCAGGCCCCCGGGCCUGGCGUUGGGGAUCGGCGGAAGCCCCCUGCGGGCACAACGCCGUCCCCCAAAUACAGUGGCGGUCCCGCCGCAGCUUCCAUUGCGUAGUAGCUAACACCUCGCAACUGGAGAGCGGCGCGGCCACGCCGUAAAACACCCAACUUCUGAAUGUUGACCUCGAAUCAGGUAGGAAUACCCGCUGAACUUAAGCAUAUCAAUAAGCGGAGGAA
rnacentral:rRNA from 1 species